CGGAUCGCAGCCUGCAACCCGGCUGCGUGAAGCUGGAAUCGCUAGUAAUCGCGGAUCAGAAUGCCGCGGUGAAUACGUUCCCGGGCCUUGUACACACCGCCCGUCAAGCCAUGGAAGCCGGGGGUGCCUGAAGUGUGCAGCCGCAAGGAGCGCCCUAAGGUAAAACCGGUGACUGGGGCUAAGUCGUAACAAGGUAGC
rnacentral:rRNA from 1 species